rnacentral:rRNA from 1 species
CACGGGGGGGAGCAAGCGUUGUUCGGAAUCACUGGGCGUAAAGGGCGUGUAGGCGGUCAGGUAAGUGAGAUGUGAAAUGCCCCGGCUCACCCGGGGACCGGCAUCUCAUACUGCUUGGCUUGAGUACGGGAGAGGAUGUGGGGAAUUCCUGGUGUAGCGGUGAAAUGCGUAGAUAUCAGGAGGAACACCGGUGGCGAAGGCGGGUCUCUGGGCCGAAAUUGACGCUGAGGAGCGAAAGCGUGGGGAGCGAACAGG